rnacentral:rRNA from 1 species
CGUGUGCAUGCCUGGUUCCAUGCGAAGCGGAUCAGCGUAAAUAUGCUACUUGGCAUGUCUCCGCUCUACGUCUCGCGACGUCAGGUUCGGAUUAUGCUAUGAGGGGAGAUCUAUCUAGCGUCCGUCUCGUGUGUGGAACAUUUUUCUCUGUCAACCUGGCUGGUAGGCGAGAACCACCAGCCGCAUUAUCUCGUUCUGCCGGAGAGGGGGUACUUCUCUUAUAGUCUGACACACUUUCGUCACACGAGUGUGUAUCAUGCUUGGGUAUACGACAUACUCGAGGGUUACUAUAUCUACAUGGCGGUGCAAGGCACUUUUUUUGUUUUACCGGGGGGUGUGUACACUCCCCCGGGGGGGUGUUCUCCGCGAUUGUCUGCGAUUUGAGAUUUUAGUGCAUUGCGAGUUCUACACAUACAGUUUGAAGUGACUUUUUUUUUUUUUUUUUUCGUCAGGACGAACGCUGGCGGCGUGCCUAAUACAUGCAAGUCGAACGCUUUUUCUUUCACCGGAGCUUGCUCCAUCGAAAGAAAAAGAGUGGCGAACGGGUGAGUAACACGUGGGUAACCUGCCCAUCAGAAGGGGAUAACACUUGGAAACAGGUGCUAAUACCGUAUAACACUAUUUUCCGCAUGGAAGAAAGUUGAAAGGCGCUUUUGCGUCACUGAUGGAUGGACCCGCGGUGCAUUAGCUAGUUGGUGAGGUAACGGCUCACCAAGGCAACGAUGCAUAGCCGACCUGAGAGGGUGAUCGGCCACACUGGGACUGAGACACGGCCCAGACUCCUACGGGAGGCAGCAGUAGGGAAUCUUCGGCAAUGGACGAAAGUCUGACCGAGCAACGCCGCGUGAGUGAAGAAGGUUUUCGGAUCGUAAAACUCUGUUGUUAGAGAAGAACAAGGAUGAGAGUAAAAUGUUCAUCCCUUGACGGUAUCUAACCAGAAAGCCACGGCUAACUACGUGCCAGCAGCCGCGGUAAUACGUAGGUGGCAAGCGUUGUCCGGAUUUAUUGGGCGUAAAGCGAGCGCAGGCGGUUUCUUAAGUCUGAUGUGAAAGCCCCCGGCUCAACCGGGGAGGGUCAUUGGAAACUGGGAGACUUGAGUGCAGAAGAGGAGAGUGGAAUUCCAUGUGUAGCGGUGAAAUGCGUAGAUAUAUGGAGGAACACCAGUGGCGAAGGCGGCUCUCUGGUCUGUAACUGACGCUGAGCUCGAAAAGAUCU